rnacentral:rRNA from 1 species
UAGAGUUUGAUCCUGGCUCAGGAUGAACGCUGGCGGCGUGCCUAACACAUGCAAGUCGAACGAAGUCCUCGGACUUAGUGGCGGACGGGUGAGUAACGCGUGAGAACCUGCCUCGAGGAGGGGGAUAACAGCGGGAAACUGCUGCUAAUACCCCAUAUGCCGAAAGGUGAAAAGAAAUUUGCCUUGAGAGGGGCUCGCGUCCGAUUAGCUAGUUGGUGAGGUAAGAGCUUACCAAGGCGACGAUCGGUAGCUGGUCUGAGAGGAUGAGCAGCCACACUGGGACUGAGACACGGCCCAGACUCCUACGGGAGGCAGCAGUGGGGAAUUUUCCGCAAUGGGCGAAAGCCUGACGGAGCAACGCCGCGUGGGGGAAGAAGGCCUUUGGGUUGUAAACUCCUUUUCUCAGGGAAGAAGAACUGACGGUACCUGAGGAAUCAGCCUCGGCUAACUCCGUGCCAGCAGCCGCGGUAAUACGGAGGAGGCAAGCGUUAUCCGGAAUUAUUGGGCGUAAAGCGUUCGUAGGCGGCGUUUCAAGUCUGCUGUCAAAGGCCGAGGCUCAACUUCGGAAAGGCAGUGGAAACUGAAAAGCUAGAGGUCGGUAGGGGCAGAGGGAAUUCCCAGUGUAGCGGUGAAAUGCGUAGAUAUUGGGAAGAACACCGGUGGCGAAAAGCGCUCUGCUGGGCCGAACCUGACGCUGAGGGACGAAAGCUAGGGGAGCGAAUGGGAUUAGAUACCCCAGUAGUCCUAGCCGUAAACGAUGGAGACUAGGUGUUGCCUGUAUCGACCCGGGCAGUGCCGAAGCCAACGCGUUAAGUCUCCCGCCUGGGGAGUACGCACGCAAGUGUGAAACUCAAAGGAAUUGACGGGGGCCCGCACAAGCGGUGGAGUAUGUGGUUUAAUUCGAUGCAACGCGAAGAACCUUACCAGGGCUUGACAUCCCGCGAAUCUCGGCGAGAGUUGAGAGUGCCUACGGGAACGCGGAGACAGGUGGUGCAUGGCUGUCGUCAGCUCGUGUCGUGAGAUGUUGGGUUAAGUCCCGCAACGAGCGCAACCCUCGUCCUUAGUUGCCAUCCUUAAGUGGGGCACUCUAGGGAGACUGCCGGUGAUAAACCGGAGGAAGGUGGGGAUGACGUCAAGUCAUCAUGCCCCAUAUGUCCUGGGCGACACACGUACUACAAUGGUCGGGACAGCGAGCAGCCAACUUGCGAAAGUGAGCUAAUCUCUCAAACCCGGCCUCAGUUCAGAUUGCAGGCUGCAACUCGCCUGCAUGAAGGAGGAAUCGCUAGUAAUCGCAGGUCAGCAUACUGCGGUGAAUCCGUUCCCGGGCCUUGUACACACCGCCCGUCACACCAUGGAAGUCGGCCAUGCCCGAAGUCAUUACUCUAACCGUUCGCGGAGGAGGGUGCCGAAGGCAGGGCUGAUGACUGGGGUGAAGUCGUAACAAGGUA